UUUCGACCUCCAUAAUAGUUUCAGAUGUCGACUGUUAUACCGAGAGCCCAAAUCCCUGAAAGAAGGGUUGUGAAGUAAAAAUUCAAUCUUUUCAAUUCGUUACAUUUGGAUGUUUAUGUUCCCCGGUUUCGUUUUAGGAGGCUAAGGGAAUGGCUUAUCGACCGAACAUCACGGCUCGAGCAAAGUUUUUCUACCAACAACAACGAGUUCCAUCGUUUUCCCAUGUGCAGCUUCUAAGACCGAAAUUGGAGGCAAUUAAGGAAGAAAUGGAAGAGAGGGUUAACUUUACAGAACAUGAGUCCAGCUGCAGUUGCUGAGGGUCAAGCAAGAAUGAGAAGUCUAUUUAAAGAUUGAAUGCCCAAGAAGGUUUGGAAGGCAAUCCCUCUGCUGGUAUGAUCAAGAAUAUCUCCAGCGGCUUUGCUGUACUGACUGUCCCACUGACUGCAGUAUUUCCCAAUGCAUACUUUGUUACUGGAGAUUCAGAAGGAAGUCAAAGGGCACAAGAGAGGAAAGAAAAAGGUUACAACAUAACACAAAUGGUAAUAUUAAUAUGUAACUGAAUGAAGAAAUAUCUUAUUAAAGGGAAUAAUGGCAAUCCAUUGUUUAAAAUGGAGUUUUGAACAUCAUAUCUCUCAUUUUCAUCCUUGAUUGUUUAGUUAAUUGUUGAAGUCCUAUCAAGAUUGCAGUUGAUGCCGAUAGAUCUGUGAAAAGUCUUUUAUAUGUUUGUGUGAAUCUGAACUGGCAUUCCUUUCCUUAUUUCUUCCCCAUUAAUUGAUUCCUUUGAAUUGAAUCCCAAUAACCCUUUCCUUCACCUUCACAUCUAACUACCUAUGUUGAAUGUUUGUCAUAAUAAUAUAAAUUUCAUUUCACCUAGAAUCUGGCAGCUUGGUUGCUUGUUUUGUUUCAAUUAGACC